rnacentral:rRNA from 1 species
UACGUAGGGUGCGAGCGUUAUUCGGAAUUACUGGGCGUAAAGCGUGCGCAGGCGGUUUUGUAAGUCAGAUGUGAAAUCCCCGGGCUUAACCUGGGAAUGGCAUUUGGGACUGCAAGGCUGGAGUGUGGCAGAGGAGACUGGAAUUCCCGGUGUAGCGGUGAAAUGCGUAGAUAUCGGGAGGAAUACCGAUGGCGAAGGCAGGUCUCUGGGCUGACACUGACGCUGAUGCACGAAAGCGUGGGGAGCAAACAGG